CAUGACCUGAGCCAAAGUCAGAUGCUUAACGACUGAGCCACCCAGGCGCCCCAAACCCAGCACAUUUUGAAAUUGUUACCCUGCCUACAAGGCCCCUGCUGAAGGUUCUGCCUCCACCUGACUCCUCCUACCCCACCUUGAGCACUCCAAACCUUGAUCAUUAAAGGGUAGUUCUCCUGGCCUCUGUUCUUUCUCCCCGAGAAUUUGAAUUUGGUUCUAUCUGAGUCUUGUUUUUGUCCUCCCAGAAACACCUCCUCCCUGCUAUGCAAAAAUAAAAUUCUUUGCUUGGUGGUUCUUUAUAAUUUAAGCCUCAGCUCAAAUACCACCUUCUUAUAUAGGCCCUCCUGUCUACUCAUGUUAAACUAGUCCCUCAUAUUCACUUUAUUUUUUUUUUCAUGUUUAUUUAUUUUGAGAGAGAGAGAGAGCGAGAGAGCACACACACAAGCAGAUAGAGAGAGGGAGAGAAUCUCAAGCAGGCUCCAUGCUGUCAGCACAGAGCCCAUUAUAGGGCUCAAUCUUAAAAACCUCAACAUCAUGACCUGAGCCCAAAUUGAGAGUUGGACCUUUAACUGACUGAACCACCCAGGUGCCCUUCUUCUAUUCAGUAUCUUUUGAAAUAUUUUGUUUUAUUGACAUUUCUUGCCGGUAACAGAAAUUAUAUUUUUAUUUACUUGUUUCUUUUUCAUUUUGAGUUUCUCUCACUAGAAUGUAUUCCCCAUGUGAGCAGAGUACAUGUCUUUUGUUCAAGGUCAUACCCUAGUGUCAAGAACAGUUCUCGAAAUACAGAAGGCACUCAAUAGAUGUUUGAUGCAUGUAUGAUUGACUCACCCAGUUAUGAAUAAACAUAGUGUCUUCAGCAGUCACUGUCUUUGAGUAUCAUAAAAUUUGCCAUGUGCUUAGUCACUGACUCUGGUGUGACCUAGGUUAUCAUUUGUUUUAAAAAUCCCAAUUUAAAAAGCCCAUUUCUUGGUUUAUAUUGGGAAAAUCUUGCAGAAAACCAAAAGGAACUCUUCGUUUAUUUUUUUCAGUCAUAACAAAUUCAUGAUUGAACACCAAAAAAUGGAUAUAGAGAUCCCGGCCUUUGUCUCCAUGGUCAAUUGUUAAGGGCUCUUAGAAAUGUUUCGAAGAAUGGGAGUUAACCCUGCAGAUCAAAGCAACAUGGGGAGGCAGAUGAGACAUCGGAGAUACAGAAUAUUGUUAGAAUAAAGGGUGCAUUUUGAAGAUUUCAGAACUCUGAAGGUGGUCGACCUGACUAUGGCUGUAGUGGUGAUGAGGGUUGAAAGACAGGAAGGACUUAGGAGACGGUGUUAGAACUAAUUACCAACUUGGCAUCCAAUUUCAUUACCAGUACCACAGCUAGAGAGCUGGGGUCGCCAGGGCAGAGCCUGUGCAAAGCAGAGAUGGAGGUAAGGAUGAGGAGCGGUCCAGAGCAUGUGUGAAACUUGGUAGCAUAUUCUAGAGACAUCCUCUGAACGGCUGAGGGGAAUGGUGCCCAACUGGGCAGAAGAUGGCAUAUAGGUUUGUAGGUGGAGGUCAGUGAGGGGUCUUGACCCCUCGUUGACCCUUGGGCUGGACCCAGGCAAUCUGAGACUCAUCCCCCUCCCUCUCCUGGCUUAGGAUUGGGCACAGCUGCCUACAGUUAUCUUGCCGGCAGCUGAUUUAAGGAAGCAGCCUUGAGAGAGCUUGGGUUGUUGAGAGCCUCCGGAGGUUGUAUGCAACUGAACCCAGUGAAGGCUUCUAUAUAAACUUUACGAUUUGGGCGGUGAGUGUGAAGAUCUCGUCUUGCAGCCACCCAAGACCGGCCUCUAUGUGGCUGAAAGUGGUGCCCAGGAUUUUGCUGCCUAAGGAGAGAAGGAAAGACAUUUGAAAAUUAAUGACAUCAUUGUUUAGUAGAAAGGAUCAGAGGACCUGCAUGGCUUUUGGGGGAAAGAGUGGGUCCAUCAGAUUUCUCCAUCCCGGAAUUGGUAGAGCUCCAGGCAUGUGCUCCUGCCCCUGCCAAAGUUUUAGUCCUGCUCCAAUGCAGGAGCCGAAGAAGCCUGGCAACAUGAUUGCCUUCCUUCUGUGAACCAGAAACAUCUAUGGUUUUCUAAGUGUGAGCCUUCCUGCAUUUCUUGGCUACAUAAAGCAGUGGCUCAUGUUAACAAGACUGAGAUUGAGUCGUUGUAAAAGCACCUUUGUCCUUGUAAUGCCUAUCAGAGCCAGACAGCGCCCAGAUGGACUUUCUGAAGCAUGGUACCAUGCAGUCGUUGAUGUAUGGGCUUUCAACAUGGAGGUUUAUGUGAAAAAUUCUCAAACCUGUUUGUAUUAUUGUGCAAGAGGGAAGGAAAAGGGAGGGAGUAGAAAGGUCAAAGUUGCAAAUAAAUGAGUAAAUGACUAACUUGUCAGUUGUGAUUUUGAUUUCUGCCAGUUUGGCUAAUGUCUCAACUUUGGAAAACACUCAGUGGAAACUUUUUUUUUUCUCCUUUUUUAAUCAGUCAGGAGAAAUGAAAGAAGAGGAAAUAGUUAUCUACAAAGUGUAAAGCACAUUUUCCUUGGUGCUGAAUUUUCGUCUGGAAUGAAUUUUUAUGACCACAUUAUAAACCUCUGAAAAUAGAGUUUAGUGGAAGUGCCGAAACUGCCUUAAAUAUAUUUUACUGGCAAAUGUGCUCCUGGAAUGAUUUUUGUAAAGGUGGAAGGACAGUGGCCUGCCAGUACAGUUCUGAUUCUCUUUGCCAUGGGAAGACAAGACUUCAAGAGAUGAAGUGUUUAACUUUCAGUGUCUAAAGUCAGAACCUGGGAUGGAUGCUUUAAUAUCACUAGUGAUGAUACUUAGUAUCCCAGCAAAAAACUCUUAAACUCUGAGGGAACAGCAGGGAAGUUUCCACUUGUAUUUUCUCCUGGUGGCGUUGGAGACGUCUGAAGCCUCAACUGGACCAGAGGGACAUGAUAGUCCCUUCUUUAUCAUGUCUCACACUUCAGGUGGAGGAAUGGCUGAGCCUCUCUUUCUCCUUGUGACUUUGCCACAUGCCUUGCUUGGGUUUCCUCACAGCAUGAUAGUCUGAGGUAAGUCAGACAGCUUACAUCCUUGUUGGUUUCCCAGAGACAGAGUUUCCAUAAAUCUAUGCAGAAGCUGCAAGACUUUUCAUGACUUAGCCAUGGAAGUCAUAGGACAUUGCUUCUGUCAUAUUCUGUUAGACAGGAGGCAAAGAGUCAAACCAGAUUCUUGUUGAGGGGACUACCAGCAAGCCCAUUGGAGGCCAUCUUUGGAGACUAGAUACACCAGAGGGUUAAAAG